AUUUAUUCAGCAAGCAGACGAUAAUCAAGAAAUGUCAAAGCCCUUGUACUGAAUGGGUGCUAAAUUUGCACCAAGAACAUAUCUGAGAGUUUCCUUUCACAGUUAUUAGACUCAAGGUAAAAUGGAGCACUGCUAUGUUUUCCUCAUAGAAAAUCAGCAAUAUUAAUCAAUUAACUAAUCUUUCUAGAAAAUUUUCAGGGAAGAUGCAAAACUUUAUGCAGCAUUAAUAUAUCAUUUUACUAUUGAUUCAUUCACUAAGAAAAAAUAAAAAUAGGGGGCAAAACUUCUGCCAGCUCCUUCAAACAUGCUAACAAAGUAUGUAUCUAGUUACCAUGUUGCCCUUUGUUGAUGCAUCAUAUCUUUCAUUCUCUCUCCAUUUCAUAAUUCAUUGCUUACAAAUUGUCAUGAGCAGAACAAAAAAUCAUGGACUUUGAACACAAUACUAAAUUAGAAAUAAGCUAUCACAACAGGAUAUAAAACAACAUGCAAAUGUGCAAUAACCUAUCAUGCUAGACACAAGCACUGAAAACUUGAAACUCAAAUGAGAUCAACCACAACCAGUAAGAGUUUCUCAAAGAUAUUUUUAAUGUAAAUUGUCUUGUGCAAAACUUUGAAGGGUAACUGACCUUCACUGCAAGAUAUACACAACUUUGAAUUUGUGGAAAUGAAGAAGAGACGACCAAUCUUCUGCCCAAGAAUUUGGAGUGAGGAUCCAGCUAUCAUACUUCUAGUUUAAAAAAAAAAAAAAAUUGAAAAAUUGCUCCAUUAAAGAUAUAAAGCAAACAAAAUUUCCGGCGAGGCUCAAUCAUCUCUCUCAACACCUUUUCUAACCACUAAUAUCCGACCACGAAAAUCCUGCAAGAGAGACUCAAAUGAAUUGCAUGCUCAAAAAGGGGGAAAAGUAGAGAAACGAAGUUCAAAUGAGAUGAUUAAUGGACUCAACUCUUCCAUUCAAAGAAAGUGCAGCAUCACGCUCUGCAGCAGACGAAAAUGACAAAAAGGCAUAGGCACGGUUCUUUCCAGCUUUACGAUCAGACAACACUCUUGCACUAACUACAAUCCCAAACUGGCUAAAUUGAUUCCUCAACUCUUCAGGUGUUACAUUCCAGGCAAUAUUGCCAAUGUAUAGCUUAUAUGGACUUUCAUAAAAGAGAUUUUUUAUUGGUGCUGAAUUCAAUGCCUCAGGGUUUCUCUUACUAGAACUCAUAUCAACUGAAAAUUUAACCCGCAUUUCUCGGCCACCAACAUCAGAUCCAUCAAGUGCAGCAAUUGCAUUUUUUGCAGAAUUUAUAGAACCCAUUGUGAUGUAACCACACCCUCGACUGAGACCAGUUUCAGGGUUCCGGGAGACCUCAACAGAAAUAACAGUUCCAAAGGGCUUGAACAUCUCUACAAGCUCUGAAAUGUCACAGCUCCUCGGAAGAUUACACACGUAAAGUUCACAUGGUCUUGGCUGCCUAUUCAAUUCAGUGCCCAAAAGGUCGUCGUCGCUCUCUUUCUUGCCAAUAUCUUCCGCAACCACUGAUUCCUCGUCAACAACUGCUAAUAAAGAGAAAACGCUCCUAACUUUUUUUGGUGGCCAGUGAGGAACAGCAGCAGAAGAAGAAGAAGAAGAAGACGAAGAAGAAGAAGAAGAAGAAGA
rnacentral:misc_RNA from 1 species